ACACGGUUAAUCUCUGAUUUAUCUAGCUACUUGGCUAGACUUGAUCACAUUGUUUGUAAUAACAUUAUUUAGCGGCAGUUAGUUAAUUAAGACAACGUUAACCUAUUCAUUUUGACCCAUUAUCUGGCAGUUUGAAUAAAACUAUCUAACGAAUGAUCUCUGGUGACAGUCAGCUAGCUAAGUUAAAGUUAGCUAAAGUUAGCUAGCUAGCAACCGCGGUAGGAAAGGCAGGAAGAUAGGUUACAACACAUUUACUUUAGCUACAUUGAAGGAUGCGCAAAUAUGAUCAGUUACAUUAGUUAAACAAACCAUUCUGGUCUGCAUUUAUUUUCAGGGUAAAAUGACGAGCAUGGACGUUGUUUAUGAAAAUAUUCACUUCAGGCACGAUCCGAAAUGGUCUGUUCAUGUUCGCAUGGGCCACCCCGACCAGGGCAGCUUGAUGAUUUGCGUCGCCUGUGUCAUUGAGAUGAUGGAAAGCAACAACGUUGCGUCUGUGAGAAAGUCUGUGGCGCUGUUGGGGAUCAGUGGGGUCCUGAAGAGCUGUCCUGGGGCUCUGAAGGAGCUGCUACUACAGGACCAUAGGGUCUGUCUGCAUUUCACAGCAUCUUUACUGGGGAUGCUUCACACAGUAGAGGACCCAGCCACUCUGAAGCAGGCCAUACAGGUGCUGGUUCAGCUGCUCUUGGAGUUACAGAGUGAACAGUAUGUGUGCUACAUCCUGGAUGAGAUACACACACAGCUGUGUGACCAGUCCAGUGUGAGGGGUUUCCUGCCCACCUUCACCUUCUUGGGGAAGCUGGUAGAUGCUGUUCCUUCCCUGCCACAGAGCCUGGCCUCCAGCCACGUGCCCCUGUUGGAGCGGUUGUGCUCGACGCUGCUCUACCCAGAUGAGGGUCUGAAGGCCUCAGUGUUCUACGUGUGGCAGAGGGUGUGGGGGGCGACGGGAGCUGCCCAGUCCCUCCCCUCCCCCCUCAGAGACAGGGUGUGUUUGCUGCUGCUGCAGACCCUGGCCCACGCCUGCUCCACUCAGCUCACCAUCAACUGCCUGGGUUUCCUGAAGCAGCUGCUGAAGCUGGGUGAGGUGGUGUCUGUGCUGAUGAACAGCCCCUGUGAGCAGAUCCGGUCUGAUCUGGAUCAGAGCCUGGGCCAGGACCGAGAGGACCAGUCCAGCACCCAGCUCUCUCUGGAGCGCUGCCCACUGCCACUCAUACUCAAAAAGCUGUUGCUGAGUGGGGAUGAGACAUUGCAGGUGGCCAGUGCUCAGUGUAUGGCUGCUAUCCUGGUCCACUCCCCCAGCCAGUACUGUGCUUCCUUCAUCCAGGCAGACGUACCCGAGUUUCUGUUUGAGUGUCUGAGCAGUGGCAGUGAGGUGUUGCUCUGGUCCGUCUACAGCUGUCUGCUGCUGCUCACUGAGGACCCGCUCUUCUUCUCCCAGUGUCACUCUGUCUACGGUAUUGAGUCUCUGGUACGCAGUCUGAAGGAGGCCCUGAGGCUGACUAACGUGGAGGUGCAGAGACAGGGCCUGCUGCUGCUCACAGAGAUACUGGAGAGGCAGCCUGUGGGGGUGCGUUUGUUCCCGAGCGGUCCAGGGUUUGUGGCCGUGGCAGAGGCGGUGCUCUCAGGAGUCUCCUCCCCUUGUCUGCAGGUGGCAACACAGGCAGCCCACGCUGCUACCGCCCUCCUCAGAGUGAACCACCAGUCCAGCCCAGUGCAGUACAAAGAGCUGGAGAAGCUGGUAGAAGCCAUUAUUGCAAGGUGCACUGAGCUGCCCUUACCUGCCUCCUCACGGUGCAGAGUGAGCCUCAAAGGAGCUGAGCCCAGCAGCCAGGCCUCGAGAGCGGGAGGGUUUCUACUCCAGGCCCUGGUCUGUUUCCAUGCCGCAUGCAGGUUAGUGGAGCAGUGUUCGUCUGAGCCUGGCCUGAAGGAGAAUGUGUUCACAGCUCCGUCCAAGCAGGUUCAGGGUCAGGACCCGCUGGAGUCCCUGUGUCUGUGUCUGCUACACUGCUGUGACACUGUUUGCAUCCCCACCGUCACAAGGCAUUGUGAGCGCGCCCCCAGCGCCCAGGUGCUCCAGCACUUCUUCUCCAUCCUGUCGUACCAGUUCUCCCUUCUACCCUCCCUCAGGCCCCUCUUCGCUGCCAAACUGGCAUCCUCUGGUUUCUUCAGGCUGGCUCUGGAGCACAAAGCUGUCCUCUGUGCAGGAAACAGAAACCCAGCUCUGAAUGCAGCCUGCUGUGGUUUUCUGCAGAGGCUCAGUGUGUGUCUGCUGUCCCAACCAGACCCUGCAACCAGCAUCCUCCCACAAGACUGUGAGGAGAUAGAGGCUGUGUUUAAGUCCAGCCUGCCCUCUCUAUGUUGUCGUGUGUGUGAGUGGCCCUCUCUGCUGUGUGAGUCCCCAGGGUCCCAAUGUGACCCUGCCGGCCCCAGGGCCACUCAGUACUGUCUGCUCACCCUGCUGCACCUGGCCCUGCAGCAUGGAGACAGGCUGCUCCCUGACUCCACAGUGUUCUCCUGUGUGGUGACUCUGCUGUGCUCGGUGCAGGAGCAGGGAGACUCGGCCCUGCCUCCCUGUGUGCUCAGGUCUGCCCUCUACCUGCUGUCUGUCACACAGGACAAGAGCCCCGACCUGGACUGGGCUCCUCUAAACUGCAUCAGCAAGGCCCUGUCCUCCAGCCCCAGUUUCGCCUCUCUACACCCACCACCCUCCACUCCUACACUUCCUCUUCCCCUACCCAGAGCUGGCCGAGCACUUUGGGCCCCGGGUCCUGGAGCUGUGGCUGUCCCACCGUGCUGAGGCCACACUGCAGUCAGACAUUCACAGUCAGAAGACAGAGGACCCGUCAGAGCAGAACCAAGACCCAGACAUCACAGCCCUGCUGGCUGUGCUGGAGAAGAGCCCCACUGUCAUACUGACCUUGCUGGGCAUGGUGUGUACCAGGGAGGCUCCCCUGGCAGAACGUGCUGUGGAGGUGCUGGGGAGUUUCCUGCAGGGAGCCAGGCCACCCACUUGGGAGCCAGGCUCAGCCAAUCA